CCUACGGGGGGCAGCAGUGGGGAAUAUUGGACAAUGGGGGGAACCCUGAUCCAGCCAUGCCGCGUGUGUGAAGAAGGCCCUCGGGUUGUAAAGCACUUUCAGUGAGGAAGAACGCCUGGUGGUUAAUACCCAUCAGGAAAGACAUCACUCACAGAAGAAGCACCGGCUAACUCCGUGCCAGCAGCCGCGGUAAUACGGAGGGUGCGAGCGUUAAUCGGAAUUACUGGGCGUAAAGCGCGCGUAGGUGGCUUGAUAAGCCGGUUGUGAAAGCCCCGGGCUCAACCUGGGAACGGCAUCCGGAACUGGCAAGCUAGAGUGCAGGAGAGGAAGGUAGAAUUCCCGGUGUAGCGGUGAAAUGCGUAGAGAUCUGGAGGAAUACCAGUGGCGAAGGCGGCCUUCUGGACUGACACUGACACUGAGGUGCGAAAGCGUGGGUAGCAAACAGGAUUAGAUACCCCGGUAGUC
rnacentral:rRNA from 1 species